AACUCCACAACACAACGCCUCUCCCCCUCCGCCCUCCUCCUCCGCUUCCUUCCCUUCCUUCCUUCCUUCCUUCCGCCUCGCGUCUCCUCGUCCUCACCUCACCUCGCCUCGUCUUCCUCCUCGCAUCGCCCUAGCCCUAGGCCACCUCGCCAUUUGAUGCGGGGGCGCCCGCCAUGGCGUCGUGGGGGCUGGGCUGGAAGCGGAGCUCCGAGAUCUUCCACCUCACCCUCGACUACGGGGACCUCGCGGAUGGACCUCCUCACCAUCACCAGCAGCAGCCGCCGCCGCCGCAGCAGCCGGGCUCCCCUCCCACGCCAUCCAGCGCGGGCUCCACGCCGACGUCGUCGUCGUCUUCGCCGACGGCGAGGAGGAGCGGCGGCAGCGGCGAGUUCGGGUUCCGGAUCGAGCUCGACUGGUCGGCGGGCGACGACGAGGACCAGGUCGCGCUGCGGCUCCAGUCCCAGCUCAUGGUCGCGCUCCCCCCGCCGCACGACGCCGUCUGCGUCGAUCUGUCCCCGAGAGGGGAGGGCGACGGCGGCGAGGAGGGUGCGGUGGCGGUGGAGAUGCGGGUGGUCAGGAGGCGGGAGGCGCUGCGGUCGGUGCGCGUGGCGCGGGCCGCGGGGUCCGCGGCCGGGAGCGGCGACGGCGCCGGGGUGCUCUCGCGGCUCAUCAGAUCCAACCUCGCGCCCGCGCCGGCCGUCGACGGUGCCGCUGCCACGGGCGUCCCCGUGCUCGCCGACCACUGGCGCUCCGUCGCCGUGCUCAGCCUCUGCAACUGCGGCUUGCUGAUGCUUCCUGUUGAAUUAACUCGCCUUGCACUUCUUGAGAAGCUACAUCUUGACAACAACAAAUUGUCAGUUUUGCCACCUGAAGUUGGUGAUUUGAAGAAAUUGAUAGUGCUGACAGUCGACAACAACAUGCUAGUUUCUGUACCUGCAGAACUGCGACAGUGUGUUUUGCUGGAGGAAUUAUCGUUGGAGAAUAAUAAGCUUGUCCGCCCAUUACUGGAUUUCAGGUCAAUGCCUAAGUUGCGUGUAUUGCGCUUGUUUGGAAAUCCUCUAGAGUUUCUCCCAGAAAUUUUGCCACUGCAUAACCUUAGGCAUCUCACACUUGCAAAUAUUAGAAUUGAAGCACUGGAAAGUCUUAGAUCUGUCACUGUACAAAUUGAGACUGAAAAUAAUUCCUACUUCGUUGCGGCCAGGCACAAACUUAGUGCCUUCUUUUCACUUGUUUUUCGGUUCUCUUCCUGUCACCACCCUUUGCUAGCCUCUGCUUUGGCCAAAAUAAUGGAAGAUCGUAGCAACCAAGUUGCAAUUAGCAAAGAAGAAAAUGCUGUCAGGCAGCUUAUAAGCAUGAUAAGCAGUGAUAAUCGUCAUGUGGUUGAGCAAGCAUGCCUUGCUCUUUCAUCACUGGGAUCAGAUAUUUCAUCAGCUAUGCUACUUAUUAAGUGUGAUAUCAUGAAGCCUAUUGAAGCUGUACUGAAAUCAUUUAAUGAAGAAGAAUUAGAAUCAGUAUUGCAAGUUGUAGUCACCUUAACUUUUGUUUCUGAUCAUGUUGCUCAAAAAAUGUUGACGAAAGACGUUCUGAAGUCACUGAAAACACUUUGUGCACACAAGAACUCUGAGGUGCAACGUCUAUCUCUAUUUGCAGUUGGCAAUUUGGCUUUCUGCUUGGAGACUCGUCGCACCCUCAUGCACUCUGAAAGUUUGCGCGACCUUUUAAUUCGCUUAACUCUUUCACAAGAGAAGCGUGUCAGCAAGGCAGCUGCACGUGCUUUGGCAAUUCUAGGUGAGAACGAGAACUUGCGUCGAGCAAUAAGAGGAAGACCAGUUGCAAAGAAGGGUCUGCGCAUUCUAUCAAUGGAUGGUGGUGGCAUGAAAGGCCUUGCGACUGUCCAAAUUCUUAAACAGAUAGAGCAAGGGACUGGGAAACGCAUACAUGAAAUGUUUGACCUCAUAUGUGGUACAUCGACAGGUGGCAUGCUUGCGAUGGCUCUUGGAGUCAAGCAGAUGACUCUGGAUCAAUGUGAAGAAAUAUACACAAAACUUGGCAAACUUGUCUUUGCUGAACCUGCCCCCAAGGAUGAAGCUGCAACGUGGAAGGAGAAGAUUGAUCAGCUUUUUAAAAGUUCAUCACAGAGUUUUAGGGUGGUUGUACAUGGAUCAAAGCACAGUGCAGAUCAAUUUGAGAGGUUACUAAAGGAAAUGUGUGCUGAUGAAGAUGGUGACCUCCUUAUAGAGUCUGCUGUAAAAGGCAUUCCGAAGGUUUUUGCUGUAUCUACUUUAGUCAGUGUCAUGCCUGCCCAACCAUAUAUAUUCCGAAAUUACCAGUACCCACCUGGCACUGUGGAAGUAUCAUCAGUCAUGACAGAAAGCCCAUCAAUUGGCUCAGCUGGAACGCCCGUUUCUGGUGCCCCGGUCGGUAUUAAACCAAUUAACACGGUUGGAACUGCUGUUUCUGGUGCACCGGUUGGUAUUAAACGUGGUGCUUUCAUGGGUAGCUGCAAGCAUCGCAUAUGGGAAGCCAUAAGAGCAUCUUCUGCAGCUCCAUAUUAUCUGGAUGAUUUCUCUGAUGACGUAAAUCGUUGGCAGGAUGGAGCUAUUGUAGCCAACAAUCCCACAAUCUUUGCGAUAAGAGAGGCACAACUUUUGUGGCCUGAUACGAGAAUAGAUUGUCUAGUUUCAAUAGGGUGUGGUUCAGUUCCAACUAAGAGUCGGAGAGGUGGGUGGCGCUACUUGGACACAGGGCAAGUUUUAAUAGAAAGUUCAUGCUCUGUAGAGAGAGUUGAAGAAACUUUGGAUACACUGAUACCAAUGCUCCCAGAAAUGCAGUAUUUCCGCUUUAAUCCAGUUGAUGAGCGGUGUGGUAUGGAACUAGAUGAGACUGAUCCUGCUGUCUGGCUUAAGUUGGAAGCUGCAACUGAUGAGUACAUUCAGAAAAACUUUCAAGAUUUCAAGAAUGUUUGUGAGCUUUUAGUUCCAAGAUACCAAGAGGAAGAAAAGUCAUCUGAAACUACCAAAUCAAUGUUGUUUUCAAGAUUCAAGCCAUCAAAUUCAGGUUUUAGUGAAAGUAAUCCUACCUUAGGAUGGAGGCGUGUGGUUUUACUUGUAGAGGCUUCAUAUAGUCCUGAUUUUGGGAAGAAAGUAAAUCAUGCCCGCUCGCUUGAAACAUUCUGCUCCCAGAAUGGUAUCAGGCUUACUCUAAUGAACAGUGCUUCUGGGUUUGGAAAGGCAGCUACCACACUUCCGACUCCAAUUACUUCUCCCUUAUUUACUGGCAGUUUUCCAUCUAGUCCACUUCUAUAUAGUCCAGAGGGCACCCAAAGAAUUGGCCGAAUUGACCUGGUUCCGCCGCUUAGCCUGGAUGGCAACCCAACUGCAAAGUCCUCGCCGCCAACGUCACCUCUUAAGUCAUGGCAGCCAUCUGUACAUGUUCAAUCACUAUAUGAUAAGUUGCAAAAUAUGCCUCAAGUUGGUGUGAUACAUAUGGCACUUCAAAACGAUUCAACUGGCUCAAUAUUGAGCUGGCAGAAUGAUGUGUUUGUAGUUGCGGAACCAGGGGAACUUGCAGACAGGUUUCUCCAGUGUGUGAAAACUAGCUUGUCAGCCAUGUUGCAUGGAUGUAAGAGAAAGGGUGCAUAUUCCUUGUCAAAGAUUUCAUGUUUGUCUGAGUUGGUUGCAGAGUGGCCGUCGUUUGAAAUUGGUGGGAUUCACCACCGCUAUAUAGGGCGCCAAACACAAGUAAUGGAAGAUAAUCAAGAAAUUGGUGCCUAUAUGUUCAGGAGGACAGUGCCUGCUGCUCAUAUGACACCUGAAGAUGUUCGAUGGAUGGUAUAUGCCAGCCUGGAUAGCUAGCACUUCCACUGAAAUGCUCUUCAAAUUCUAUUCUUAUGUAGUGUGUUAAUUGUGCUUAGAAAGGACAUGUGACAAAAUAUUCAUGCAAGUGACAUCUGAUGAAAUUGGAUGCUAAUUUCCAACUAAAUUCUGGUUGGAGCAUGGAGGGAGAGGAUCAUUGUAUGCAGUGGUAAGUAUGGCCUUGCUCACGGCCUGGUCAAAGCAUUCAUGGAUUCUGGUGCCAAAGCAGUCAUCUCGUCGGCCAUGGAGCCUCCAGAUUCCCAGUCUAUAGUAUACCAUGGGAUGGAAGUAAAUGGCAGCCUUGAGAACGGGAAGUUUGUCAUUGCCGAUGAUGAGGCUUCCGAGUCUGAGGCGGAACCUGUUAGCCCUACGAGUGACUGGGAAGACAGCGACAUGGAGAAAAAUGGCGAUCGCAGCAAAGAUUUCGAUGAUGAGGAGUACAUGGCUCAGUUCAUCUGCCUCCUGUAUGACAAGCUGUUCCGCGAGGGCGUGACGGUGGACACGGCGCUCCAGCAAGCGCUCCGGUCACAUCCAAAGUUGAAGUACAACUGCCAUUUACCCAAUGUUUUGUAGGUAGGAGUACAUUCACAGUCCUUAUAGAAAUAUAUACCAAGAUGAAUAUAGAAGAAGAAAAGAAUAAUAUGAUCUGGCGGAUUCAUGAGGGGGUUUAUAGAGUUUAUACUCGUAAUUUCGUUGUUGAGGCUGUGGUCGCAGACUGUUUGUUUCCCCCAAGUGAAUCUUUCGGCGAAAUGCUGUUUGUAAUUCUAGGCUAGUACAUAGAACAUGUACUGACGGCAACAUGGACAUAGCAGUUAAUCUGAGACAAUAAAGGAUGAAGUUUUGCUUGCUGUUGCAGUAA